GGUCAGAAGGCCGGACUCAAUUUUCUAGUCAAGACAGAAGACUGGAAACCAGUGCCCACUGACGGUGCAAUAAAGAAGCAGCAAUUUCUUCGGAGUCCUGGAUUCUUUUAUUGGAGAAUAAUAUUUGGAAACUGAGAUCUUGGUGCUCACUGCUAUUGAGAUUAUAGCUACUCACUUCCAUCAAAUAGAGCAACACAUGUGCAGGAAUAAAGAUCAUUCCCUGAAGUAAACCCUUCCUCCCACUCCAGCAGACUUCCCCUCAUAUAUCUUUGGUCAGAAAUGGAUCAUAUAACUACAGAAGAGCUAGGAACGACAACCUAAAAAGGAAAAAGAGAGCUAGCAACCAACAAUGUUGGCAACCACAUUCAUGAAGGAAGAAUCUUUUUUCUAUUUCCUGUCUUGGGAACAAAUAGCAUUUCAACUACAUAUUUUUCUUUUUUUUUUUAUUAGUAUAUGUUUGCUAUACAUAAACAUAUCAUAA